rnacentral:rRNA from 1 species
UACGUAGGUGGCAAGCGUUGUCCGGAAUUAUUGGGCGUAAAGCGCGCGCAGGCGGCCUUUUAAGUCUGAUGUGAAAUCUUGCGGCUCAACCGCAAGCGGCCAUUGGAAACUGGGAGGCUUGAGUACAGAAGAGGAGAGUGGAAUUCCACGUGUAGCGGUGAAAUGCGUAGAUAUGUGGAGGAACACCAGUGGCGAAGGCGACUCUCUGGUCUGUAACUGACGCUGAGGCGCGAAAGCGUGGGAGCAAACAGG